rnacentral:rRNA from 1 species
CAGGCCUAACACAUGCAAGUCAUCAUGCCCCUUAUGCCCUGGGCUACACACGUGUUACAAUGGCUGGGACAAUGCGAAGCAAUACCGCGAGGUGGAGCGAACCGCCAAACCCGGCCUCAGUUCAGACCGUAGGCUGCAACUCGCCUGCGUGAAGUCGGAAUCGCUAGUAACCGCCAAUCAGCACGUGGCGGUGAAUCCGUUCCCGGGCCUUGUAA